CCAAGCUACUAAGAGCCAACGGUGGAUGCCUUGGCACUGACUACCGAUGAAGGUCGUGAGAGGCUGCGAUAAGCCACGGGGAGCUGCCGACUAAGCGUCGAUCCGUGGAUGACCGAAUGGGGAAACCCAGCACCCGUCAUGGGGUGUUACUCCCGUCUGAACACAUAGGGCGGGUAGAGGGAACCUGGUGAACUGAAACAUCUAAGUAACCAGAGGAAAAGAAAGCAACAGCGACUCCCUGAGUAGCGGCGAGCGAAACGGGAUCAGCCUAAACCUGUGUGGUGGAAAGCCUGACGGCGUUGCCACAUGGGGGUUGUGGGAACCGAUGGACACUGCGUCAGAAGUGUCACGGAGUUACAAAUCGAGUGUGUAGUGGAACGACUCUGGAAAGGUCGGCCGCAGUGGGUAAGAGCCCCGUACACGAAACGCAUCUCGACUCCGAUCGUGUCUCCCGAGUAGCGCCGGAUCCGGGAAAGCCGGCGUGAAUCUGCGAGGACCACCUCGUAAGGCUACGUAUAUGUCAGUGACCGAUAGUGAACUAGUACCGUGAGGGAAAGGUGAAAAGUACCCCGGGAGGGGAGUGAAAUAGUACCUGAAACCGUUGGUUUACAAGCAGUCAGAGUGUCGUCACUUCGGUGGCCACGAUGGCGUGCCUUUUGAAGAAUGAGCCUGCGAGUUACGGUGUGUGGCGAGGUUAACCCGUGAGGGGGAGCCGGAGCGAAAGCGAGUCUGAACAGGGCGUUCAGUCGCAUGCUGUAGACCCGAAGCCGAGUGAUCUAGCCAUGGGCAGUGUGAAGCGGGGGUAAGACCCCGUGGAGGCGCGAACCCACUUCGGUUGAAAACGGAGGGGAUGACCUGUGGUUAGGGGUGAAAGGCCAAUCAAACUCGGUGAUAGCUGGUUCUCCGCGAAAUGCAUUUAGGUGCAGCGUUGCGUGUUCAGUCAUGGAGGUAGAGCACUGAAUGGGCUAGGGGCCCCACAAGGUUACCGACCCCAAUCAAACUCCGAAUGCCAUGACUCCAGAGCGCAGCAGUGAGACCUCGGGGGAUGAGCUUCGAUGGUCGAGAGGGAAACAGCCCAGAUCACCAGCUAAGGCCCCUAAUUCUGUACUAAGUGGUAAACGAUGUGGGAUUGCACAGACAGCCAGGAGGUUGGCUUAGAAGCAGCCACCCUUGAAAGAGUGCGUAAUAGCUCACUGGUCGAGUGAUCCUGCGCGGAUAAUGUAACGGGGCUCAAGUACAGAGCCGAAGCUGUGAAUUCCUAUGUAUGUAGGAGUGGUAGCGGAGCGUCGAUCUUGCAGCGAAGCGGCGGUGGAAACCGUCGUGGAGCGAGGUCGAGUGCGAAUGCAGGCAUGAGUAGCGAAAGAGGGGUGAGAAACCCCUCCGCCGAAUAUCCAAGGGUUCCUGGGGAAGGCUAAUCCUCCCAGGGUGAGUCGGGAGCUAAGACGAGGCCGACAGGCGUAGUCGAUGCACAACUGGUUGAUAUUCCAGUACCACCACAUUAUGCGCCCACGCUAAAGCAACUUUGCUAAGGGGAUGCUGCUAGCCCGUAAAACGGCCGGCAGAGAAACCGACCCAGGUUGUGGCGGCGAGCAAUGCGGGGACGCAGGAAGGUAGAUGAUCCCAGGCGAUGGUUGUCCUGGGGUAAGCGAGUAGGGAGAGGCCCAGGUAAGUCCGGUCCUCACGAUCCUGAGACGCGACGCCGAGCCGAAUCAGGCGAAGUCAUUGAUCCUAUGCUGCCAAGAAAAGCCGCUAGCUAGUACGUGUGGUGCCCGUACCCCAAACCAACACAGGUGGAUAGGUAGAGAAUACCAAGGCGAUUGAGAUAACUCUGGUUAAGGAACUCGGCAAAAUACAUCCGUAACUUCGGGAGAAGGAUGACCCCAUUAGGGUGACGGGACUUGCUCCCUGAGCUCGAAGGGGUGGCACAAACCAGUGGGAAGCGACUGUUUACUAAAAACACAGCAGCGUGCGAAGCCGUAAGGCGCUGUAUACGCUGUGACUCCUGCCCGGUGCUGGAAGGUUACGGGGAAGGGUUAGCCCUUGAGGCGAAGCUCUGAACCUAAGCCCCAGUAAACGGCGGCCGUAACUAUAACGGUCCUAAGGUAGCGAAAUUCCUUGUCGGGUAAGUUCCGACCUGCACGAAUGGAGUAACGACUCCCCAACUGUCUCAACCAGAGACUCAGCGAAAUUGAAGUACGAGUAAAGAUGCUCGUUAGCUGCAGAAGGACGGAAAGACCCCGUGGACCUUUACUAUAGUUUGGUAUUGGUUCUUGGUCUGAGUUGUGUAGGAUAGGUGGGAGACUAGGAAGCAUUGGCGCCAGCUAGUGUGGAGUCGUCCUUGAAAUACCACC
rnacentral:rRNA from 1 species